rnacentral:lncRNA from 1 species
AAAGAACUAAUAAUAAAAAAAAUCUCUUUUUUUUUUAUCCAUAUAGAAAUGCAGCAUCAAGAUUUUGAAUCGCAUAGCAGAGAAGAAAUGACCCCGACACAAAGAGACACAUCUUUCAUUCGCCUGACAGUUAAAAACAAUGUCCGUUUCACUAAAGACGGAUUUGUGCCGUGGAUGGAUACACCAGAGUAUUCGUCACCAACCCAUACCAGAUACUUCAUCUUGGAUGACGAUAAUGAAUCUCUGAAAGUCCUUCAUGACGGAACAUACAAGGUUUCUCUGCAGAUUACGUACAGAAAAUUCAGUGAAAAGCCAGAAAGAGAUGAAAUAUUUCUGCAACAUGAUAUUCAUCAUUAUACUGAUGGAUAUCCUGGACACCUGCCCCUGCUUACCCACUGCGAAACAGUGAACAUUACACACUGGAGGAAAAGUCUGUUUUCUGAAGGUAUUUUUUAUCUCAAAUCUGGGGACAGACUCAAGGUGUGGUCCAAGAAUCUGAACCUCAUUGAUGUUGGAGAUAAAUUUGUGCAAAAAACAGUCUUUGUGGUGUAUCCACAUUUUACCCCGUGAGGAUACGGCUAAUACAAAAAACAAAAAGACAAUUUCUUCUGUAGCUUUGAAUAAGGAUCAAAAGGGCUGCCAUGAAGUAUCAUAUUUAUCUGUCUGGGAUGACCCUGUCAUCUAAACCGGUUCUCCUUUUGUUAGCAGAAUAAUUUGGAUCGCAGAUAUAUUUAUGCUAUAAUCAGUAGCAUAGCCAUGUACAGAUGAAAGCCCUUACCAAAAAAUACUGUGGUACAUUAAUGGUGUCACAUGGUAAUACUAGAGUACUUUGAUAUAAACUAUGGUAGUGAAAUUCAUUCCCUCUAGUGUCGUUUUCAAGAAUAUUGUGGUGCUUCCGUGGUAUAUGUUAAACAACUUGCUAAUAUCAUAGUAUUUUUCUUUUUGGUAUUUUCUUUUGUAAGAGAAGACUUUUCUGCUUCACAGCUGGGGACAAAACAGGCAUUGACUUGGGUUUUAAAAGCUAC